rnacentral:other from 2 species
UUUACCCUGGGGUGUUAGUCAGUGGAUUACGUCCCUGAGCCGAUAAGCAAAAAACGAGGGUUGGUACUUGGUAGCUAUUGAGCAAGCUCGGCUCGAACCGAGAAGCCUACGGUUAUCAUUGCUGGCCCGCCUUGAACCAGCUGGUUCAAGGGUCAAAAUCUGCGACGGCAUCCCGGGGUACCC